GAGACAGUAGUAUAAAUUAGUAUUAUAUCUUUUUUUCGCGAAGGGGAUUUUUGUCUUG
rnacentral:tRNA from 1 species